UACGUAGGCAGCAAGCGUUGUUCGGAGUUACUGGGCGUAAAGGGUGCGUAGGCGGCCGUUUAAGUUUGUCGUGAAAUCUCCCGGCUUAACUGGGAGGGUGCGGCGAAUACUGAGCGGCUUGAGUGCGGGAGAGGAGAGUGGAAUUCCUGGUGUAGCGGUGAAAUGCGUAGAUAUCAGGAGGAACACCGGCGGUGUAGACGGCUCUCUGGACCGCAACUGACGCUGAGGCACGAAAGCGUGGGGAGCAAACAGG
rnacentral:rRNA from 1 species